rnacentral:rRNA from 1 species
UACGUAGGGUGCGAGCGUUGUCCGGAAUUAUUGGGCGUAAAGAGCUCGUAGGCGGUCCGCCGCGUCGGUCGUGAAAUCUCGGGGCUCAACCCCGGGUCUGCGGUCGAUACGGGCGGACUUGAGUGCGGUAGGGGAGACCGGAAUUCCUGGUGUAGCGGUGGAAUGCGCAGAUAUCAGGAGGAACACCGAUGGCGAAGGCAGGUCUCUGGGCCGUUACUGACGCUGAGGAGCGAAAGCGUGGGGAGCGAACAGG